AGAGUUUGAUCCUGGCUCAGGACGAACGCUGGCGGCGUGCUUAACACAUGCAAGUCGAACGGAAAGGCCCUUCGGGGUACUCGAGUGGCGAACGGGUGAGUAACACGUGGGUGAUCUGCCCUGCACUUUGGGAUAAGCCUGGGAAACUGGGUCUAAUACCGAAUAUGACCAUGCACUUCCUGGUGUGUGGUGGAAAGCUUUUUGCGGUGUGGGAUGGGCCCGCGGCCUAUCAGCUUGUUGGUGGGGUAAUGGCCUACCAAGGCGACGACGGGUAGCCGGCCUGAGAGGGUGACCGGCCACACUGGGACUGAGAUACGGCCCAGACUCCUACGGGAGGCAGCAGUGGGGAAUAUUGCACAAUGGGCGCAAGCCUGAUGCAGCGACGCCGCGUGAGGGAUGACGGCCUUCGGGUUGUAAACCUCUUUCAGCACAGACGAAGCGCAAGUGACGGUAUGUGCAGAAGAAGGACCGGCCAACUACGUGCCAGCAGCCGCGGUAAUACGUAGGGUCCGAGCGUUGUCCGGAAUUACUGGGCGUAAAGAGCUCGUAGGUGGUUUGUCGCGUUGUUCGUGAAAACUCACAGCUUAACUGUGGGCGUGCGGGCGAUACGGGCAGACUUGAGUACUGCAGGGGAGACUGGAAUUCCUGGUGUAGCGGUGGAAUGCGCAGAUAUCAGGAGGAACACCGGUGGCGAAGGCGGGUCUCUGGGCAGUAACUGACGCUGAGGAGCGAAAGCGUGGGGAGCGAACAGGAUUAGAUACCCUGGUAGUCC
rnacentral:rRNA from 1 species